rnacentral:misc_RNA from 1 species
AAGUCGUAACAAGGUUUCCGUAGGUGAACCUGCGGAAGGAUCAUUAAUGAGUUAGGGUCUCCGGGCCCGACCUCCAACCCUUUGUUGUCACAAAACCACAUGUUGCUUUGGCGUGGACCGCCCGCGAGGGCUGCCGGUCCCAGGCCCGGCAAGCGCCCGCCAGAGGAAACCAAACUCUUGUUUUCAAAACCGUACGUCCGAGUAAAAACGAUUAAAUCAAUCAAAA